UACAGAGGGUGCAAGCGUUGUUCGGAAUUAUUGGGCGUAAAGCGCGUGUAGGCGGCUUUGCAAGUCGGGUAUGAAAGCCCUCAGCUCAACUGAGGAAGUGCGCCCGAAACUGCAGAGCUUGAGUGCCGGAGAGGGUGGCGGAAUUCCCCAAGUAGAGGUGAAAUUCGUAGAUAUGGGGAGGAACACCAAUGGCGAAAGCAGGUAACUGGACUAUUACUGACACUCAACUGCGAAAGCUAGGGGAGCAAACAGG
rnacentral:rRNA from 1 species